UGGUUCUGGCAUCGAUGAAGAACGCAGCGAAAUGCGAUAAGUAAUGUGAAUUGCAGAAUUUAGUGAAUCAUCGAAUCUUUGAACGCACAUUGCGCCCUUGGGUAUUCCUGAGGGCACACCUGUUCGAGCGCCGUUUCAAAUUCUAAGACUUUGUCUUGAGAUGAUGCUGCCCAACCUUGGGCUCAUCGAAACUUGCAGGCGCUGUUUAUUGAUUAGCGACGUAGCAAAAUACGGAAGCUCCUCUUUAAACAACAGCCGAUAACAUUCAUUGUUUGGCCUCGGAUCAGGUGGGGUUACCCGCUGA
rnacentral:misc_RNA from 1 species